CGCUAAGAAGCUAAAUUGGGCCAUAGCGUUAGCCUUUUAAGCUAAAGAUUGGUGACCCCCGCCCACCCUUAGUGA
rnacentral:tRNA from 1 species